CCAGCCUUUCUCUGUGUGUCAAGGAGAGCCCUUAGGGAAACGUUCGUGUGCGUGUGUGUGUGUGUGUGUGUGGUAUGGAAAGAUAUAAUUGCUUAAGUACAGCCUCUCUCUCUCUCUCUCUCUCUCUCUCUCUCUCUCUCUCUCUCUCUCUCUCUCUCUCUCUCUCUCUCUCUCUCUCUCUCUCUCUCUCUCUCUCUCUCUCUCUCUCUCUCUCUCUCUCUCUCUCUCUCUCUCUCUCUCUCUCUCUCUCUCUCUCUCUCUCUCUCUCUCUCUCUCUCUCUCUCUCUCUCUCUCUCUCUCUCUAUUUUGCCUGUCUGCCCUCGUGUGUGUGUGUGUGUGUGUGUGUGUGUGUGUGUGUGUGUGUGUGUGUGUGUGUGUAUCUCAUUUAUUUAUUUAAGUUAUUUUUCUUCUUCACGCAGAUAGUAAUUGACGAACACAACACACCACGUGGAGAGAAGCAAGGUGUGGAGUACCCAAGCCUCUCACAGUCCAUGCUAGUAGACUCACCCUGCAUGUGGAGAUCUCCCAAAAUGCACGGAGGUUAUUCCAGAGCUGCAGGACAGAGUACUUGAGGCCAUUGGUGAACAGAAAGCUGAGGUUGAACAAAGGUAGAGUAAAGAUUACACUGACAUUUGGGACAUUGACGUUGUUUGUUACCAGUAUUAUAUUGAUUCCUUUUAUUUCAGCCAAGAAUUGAUAGCUGCCCAAGGUGUAAGCAAGAUUCACAAUGAUGAGGUCAUUGUGACGUGUGCAAUGUGUCCACUGGUCUUGGCCUUCCUGACCAAGGCAGCCACACAAAGGAAAUUCCACGUUAUUGUUGCCGAACGUGCCCCUAAAUAUGAUGUAAGGUGUUUUAUGCGUCUCUUUCACGUCAUCGUGUCUGAUGUGCACAAUACAUAACACAGGGACUGCCACAUGUAGGGGUGAUGGCUUCUUGCAGCUUCCUUUAUUUUAUUACGUUCUUAUGUUCUCAAUACAUCUUUUACUUGUGCAGGGUCACCCAGUGGCAAAAGCUUUAUGUACUGCUGGAAUUGAGACAACAUUAAUUCAAGACUCUGCAGUGUUCCCCAUCAUGUCACGUGUCAACAAGGUCAUCAAAGGUCAUCGUUGGCACCGAGACGGUGGUGACCAACGGAGGCAUUGAGACCUUUGUUGGUGCAGCCUCUCUUGCCUCACCACCAAAGUUUUAUUCUGUUCCACUGUAUGUGUGCACUCCCACAUACAAAUUUAGCUUGAUGGGCUGUGAAGAAAUAAGCCACCAAACCACCACUUCUAUUAUCCCAGAGGGAACAAAGUUUUGGCCGUCUGUAAAUACUGCGCUGACUCAGCUAGAUUACGUUCCUCCAGAAAAUGUCACCAGUUUGAUAACUAACAAUCGAGGUACUGCACCAUCCUACGUGUACCGGCAGCUUAGCGAACUGUACCGUCCCACUUCUUGUGAUCUCUAAGGUAACAGCUUUAAUCCUUGCAAAUAAGGAAUAAGAGAAAAGAGACACACCUGCCAUUUGUACUGUUAUGCUGUAGUGUUCUGUCAUUUUUUUCCUCUUUUAUCCUAGAACCAUUUUUGGUCAUUCAUGUUUAUAAAAAUUAUUAUACAAAAAUGUUGAGCUUAAUAUGUUUGGUGUAGUUUUUUGUAACAUGUGUUAUUGUUAAUGUGUGUGGUUCCCCUCAGGAAGAAUGUUGCAGUAUUAGCAGUAAUGUUACAGCCAAUAGAAGUGUCUGUAUUGUGCUUUGGUGGGAGGUUAAUUUGAUGUAUUUUUAGAAUUGUGCAGGAUAUAGCAAGCCCUCAAAAUAAAGAAAAUAACUAUAGAAAACACUCCUUGUAUUGAAAACACCACUGCAGAGAAACAGGAAACCCUGCAUUCAGUACUGUGUGGUUGUUGCACUAACACUGAGCUAAAUGCCUUUUGGAUGGUUGUACACUAAAAAUAAUGUAAAAAUCCCUAUAAACAACUGUCCCUGCAUUAAAAACCUUUCAUCACAAAAUUACACACAAGAUACUCAACCAGUGCAUGAAUGUUCAAGCGGUACCAUGAAGAUAUGAGGCUUUUGGCACUGUUUGAAGGUUUUGAGGAGUAACAAACAGGACUUAAACAGAAAGAAGCACUCACUGCUAAUGUUUAAGCUUGUGAAUGUUGUUUAGGUGGUCUGAGUAAGGAAGAAACAACACUCUAUGGUGUGGUACUGCUGGUGAAUGCCAUGGUGGAACACAUACAGGAAAUGGCCACAUCUCUGGUUGCAGGGCACAACAACACCCACUUUAUAACCUGUACCUGUGAAUAACAGGAUGUAACAGAGGCGCUGCAUAGUGAACAGUGAAGCACGGUGUCUUCGUGCUGCCAUCCUUUUCCUUGUCAGGCAUCAAAUGUGCAAACCCAAAAUCCACAAUCUUAAUAACUGAAUCUUCAGAAGAAUCCUUGAACAAGAGAUUCCGUGAAAAGAUAAUUAGAUUAGAAUGGCCUCGGAGAAGGAUAAUAUCUGAAUGGAAUAAAUUCAU